rnacentral:rRNA from 1 species
GACGAACCGAGCGAACGUUAUUCGGAAUCACUGGGCUUACAGGGUGCGUAGGCGGUCUGUUAAGUAGGGUGUGAAAGCCCCCGGCUCAACCGGGGAAUUGCGCCCUAAACUGGCGGACUGGAGUGAGAUAGGGGUGUGCGGAACUUCCGGUGGAGCGGUGAAAUGCGUUGAUAUCGAUAGGAACUCCGGUGGCGAAGGCGGCAUACUGGACCACUACUGACGCUGAUGCGCGAAAGCCAGGGGAGCAAACGGG